rnacentral:rRNA from 1 species
CAGGCCUGACACAUGCAAGUCGAGCGGGCAUCCUUGUGUCGUCAGCGCCGGACGGGUGAGUGACACGUGGCGACGUACCCUUUGGUUCGGCAUAACGGUGGGAAACUAGCGCUAAUACCGCAUACGCCCUUUUGGGGAAAGGCUUGCUCCCGAAGGAUCGGCCCGCGUCUGAUUAGCUAGUUGGUGGGGUGAUGGCCUACCAAGGCGACGAUCAGUAGCUGGUCUGAGAGGAUGAUCAGCCACACUGGGACUGAGACACGGCCCAGACUCCUACGGGAGGCAGCAGUGGGGAAUAUUGGACAAUGGGCGCAAGCCUGAUCCAGCCAUGCCGCGUGAGUGAUGAAGCCCUUAGGGUUGUGAGGCUCCUUCCUCCGGGACGAUAAAAACUGUAGCCGGGAGGAAUAAGCCCCGGUUGGCCUCGUGCCAGCAGCCCGCGGUCAU